rfam:Oryza sativa Japonica Group DNA, chromosome 11, cultivar: Nipponbare, complete sequence.
ACCCGUCACUGGUAUCUAGUCACCUGUGACGGGCCGAGAAUGGAACCCGUCAAAGGGACACCUCUGACGGGUUCCAUUCUCGAUCCGUCACAGGUGACUAGAUGCCUGUGACGGCC